rnacentral:rRNA from 1 species
CACGUAGGGCGCGAGCGUUGUCCGGAAUUAUUGGGCGUAAAGAGCUCGUAGGCGGUCUGUCGCGUCUGCUGUGAAAACUCAGGGCUUAACCCUGAGCUUGCAGUGGGUACGGGCAGACUAGAGUGCGGUAGGGGAGACUGGAAUUCCUGGUGUAGCGGUGAAAUGCGCAGAUAUCAGGAGGAACACCGGUGGCGAAGGCGGGUCUCUGGGCCGAUACUGACGCUGAGGAGCGAAAGCGUGGGGAGCGAACAGG